rnacentral:rRNA from 1 species
AACCAAGAAAUUUAGUCAUUCUUUUAUGGUAAAAAGACAGUUAGGCAGGGUAUAGUUAAAAUCGUUGGACCUUUAGUAGAGGAGUAAAAUCUAAAUACUAAAAGUUAUACCGGGGAUGAUUUAUUUGAGAUGCUGAGUCUGUGACAGCUUUAAGGGAAACUGGGAUUGGAUACCCCAUUAUUUUUAGUUAUAAAUUAGUUUAAGCUUACCAGAGUACUACGAAUAAAAAGUUUAAAACUCAAAGAGCUUGGCGGUGUUUUAGACCUCUCAGGGGAACCUGUCUCAUAAUCGACAAUCCACGUUAAACCUAACCUUUUAUAGUAGUUCAGCUUGUAUACCGUCGUCGUCAGGUAACUUCUUAAAAUAUAGUAGUUAGCUCGAGAAUUGGAUUAAUUAGAACGUCAGAUCAAGGUGCAGCUAAUGAGAAGGUGAGGAUGGGUUACAAUUACAUAUUUGUAAAUACGGAAAACACUUGAAAUGAAGUGUCUUAAAGGAGGACUUGAAAGUAAUUUUGAUUAUAUAAAUGGAAUGAAUGCGGCUCUGAAACGUGC